rnacentral:misc_RNA from 1 species
AACGCACGAGACCUGCGGACCUGCGGAGGGAUCAUUAGUGAACGCCCUCACGGGCUUAUAACUACUCCAAACCUCUGUGAACCGUGCCCUUCGGGGCUAUUUUACAAACAUGGUGUAAUGAACGUCAUAUAUCAUAACAAAACAAAACUUUUAACAACGGAUCUCU